GACCUACUUGACCUACAUCUGUUGAGAGUAAAGAUGGACAAAGCCCACAGAGAUAAAACAGUGAAGGAUUCCAUCCUCUUUGAGAUGCACUCAGCCAUUGUAGAAGAAACACAAAUGUUCCUUAGCACAAACCAAGAGGAAAAGAAACAGGAACUGACAAUCUGUAAGAGACUUCCACUAGAUUCAUGUCAUGAAUCUACUGUGAUAGUGAAGAAUCCUGGAAGUAAUUAUGUGUAGAGCCAUUUGGCAUGCCAGCUACUGCA